GACGAACGCUGGCGGCGUGCCUAAUACAUGCAAGUUGAGCGCUGAAGGUUGGUACUUGUACCAACUGGAUGAGCAGCGAACGGGUGAGUAACGCGUGGGGAAUCUGCCUUUGAGCGGGGGACAACAUUUGGAAACGAAUGCUAAUACCGCAUAAAAACUUUAAACACAAGUUUUAAGUUUGAAAGAUGCAAUUGCAUCACUCAAAGAUGAUCCCGCGUUGUAUUAGCUAGUUGGUGAGGUAAAGGCUCACCAAGGCGAUGAUACAUAGCCGACCUGAGAGGGUGAUCGGCCACAUUGGGACUGAGACACGGCCCAAACUCCUACGGGAGGCAGCAGUAGGGAAUCUUCGGCAAUGGACGAAAGUCUGACCGAGCAACGCCGCGUGAGUGAAGAAGGUUUUCGGAUCGGAAAACUCUGUUGGUAGAGAAGAACGUUGGUGAGAGUGGAAAGCUCAUCAAGUGACGGUAACUACCCAGAAAGGGACGGCUAACUACGUG
rnacentral:rRNA from 1 species